rnacentral:rRNA from 1 species
AUUGAACGCUGGCGGCAGGCCUAACACAUGCAAGUCGGACGGUAGCACAGAGAGCUUGCUCUCGGGUGACGAGUGGCGGACGGGUGAGUAAUGUCUGGGGAUCUGCCCGAUAGAGGGGGAUAACCACUGGAAACGGUGGCUAAUACCGCAUAACGUCGCAAGACCAAAGAGGGGGACCUUCGGGCCUCUCACUAUCGGAUGAACCCAGAUGGGAUUAGCUAGUAGGCGGGGUAAUGGCCCACCUAGGCGACGAUCCCUAGCUGGUCUGAGAGGAUGACCAGCCACACUGGAACUGAGACACGGUCAGACUCCUACGGGAGGCAGCAGUGGGGAAUAUUGCACAAUGGGCGCAAGCCUGAUGCAGCCAUGCCGCGUGUAUGAAGAAGGCCCUCGGGUUGUAAAGUACUUUCAGCGGGGAGGAAGGCGGUGCGGUUAAUAACCGCGCCGACUGACGUUACCCGCAGAAGAAGCACCGGCUAACUCCGUGCCAGCCGCCGCCGUAA